UAAGACAGAGGUGCCAAGCGUUAGGCGGAAUCACUGGGCUUAAAGCGUGUGUAGGCGGGUCGUUAAGUACCUUGUGAAAUCCCACGGCUUAACCGUGGAACUGCUCGGUAUACUGGCGAUCUUGAGCCACUUAGGGGCUACCGGAACAAAUGGUGGAGCGGUGAAAUGCGUAGAUAUCAUUUGGAACGCCAAUGGUGAAAACAGGUAGCUGGGAGUGUGCUGACGCUGAGACACGAAAGCCAGGGGAGCGAACGGGAUUAGAUACCCCGGUAGUCCUGGCCGUAAACGAUGUCGACUAGAUCGUAGUGCCUCUGACGGUAUUACGGUCGAAGCAAAAGUGCUAAGUCGACCGCCUGGGAAGUACGGUCGCAAGGCUA
rnacentral:rRNA from 1 species